CUAGCGAAACUGCCGGUGUAAACCGAGAGGAAGGUGGGAUGACGUCAAUCAGCACGGCCCUUAUGUCCAGGGCUACACACGUGUUACAAUGGCCGGUACAGAGGGCAGCUACCUGUUGACAGGAUGCGAAUCUCGAAAGCCGGUCUCAGUUCGGAUCGGAGUCUGCAACCCGACUCCGUGAAGCUGGAUUCGCUAGUAAUCGCGCAUCAGCCAUGGCGCGGUGAAUAACGUUCCCGGGCCGUU
rnacentral:rRNA from 1 species